rfam:Ascochyta rabiei strain ArDII scaffold_165, whole genome shotgun sequence.
GGGCUCGUGGUUUAGUGGUAUAAUACUCCCUUAGCAUCUCGCAAGCACCUAGUGCUUCGAAUCCUGACUGGGAGUGGUCCGGGGUUCGAUUCCCCGCGAGUCCA